rnacentral:rRNA from 1 species
GGGGAGCGGCAGACGGGAGAGUAACACGUGGGAACGUACCUUUCAGUUCGGAACAACCAAGGGAAACUUUGGCUAAUACCGAAUACGCCCGUAAGGGGAAAGAUUUAUCGCUGAAAGAUCGGCCCGCGUCUGAUUAGCUUGUUGGUGAGGUAAUGGCUCACCAAGGCGACGAUCAGUAGCUGGUCUGAGAGGAUGAUCAGCCUCACUGGGACUGAGACACGGCCCAGACUCCUACGGGAGGCAGCAGUGGGGAAUAUUGGACAAUGGGGGAAACCCUGAUCCAGCCAUGCCGCGUGAGUGAUGAAGGCCUUAGGGUUGUAAAGCUCUUUCGUUGGGGAAGAUAAUGACGGUACCCAAAGAAGAAGCCCCGGCUAACUUCGUGCCAGCAGCCGCGGUAAUACGAAGGGGGCUUGCGUUGCUCGGAAUCACUGGGCGUAAAGCGCACGUAGGCGGCUUUCUAAGUCAGGGGUGAAAUCCUGGAGCUCAACUCCAGAACUGCCUUUGAUACUGGAAAGCUUGAGUUCGAGAGAGGUGAGUGGAACUGCGAGUGUAGAGGUGAAAUUCGUAGAUAUUCGCAAGAACACCAGUGGCGAAGGCGGCUCACUGGCUCGAUACUGACGCUGAGGUGCGAAAGCGUGGGGAGCAAACAG